AUUGAACGCUGGCGGCAGGCUUAACACAUGCAAGUCGAGCGGGGUGAUGGUGCUUGCACUAUCACUUAGCGGCGGACGGGUGAGUAAUGCUUAGGAAUCUGCCUAUUAGUGGGGGACAACAUCUCGAAAGGGAUGCUAAUACCGCAUACGUCCUACGGGAGAAAGCAGGGGAUCACUUGUGACCUUGCGCUAAUAGAUGAGCCUAAGUCGGAUUAGCUAGUUGGUGGGGUAAAGGCCUACCAAGGCGACGAUCUGUAGCGGGUCUGAGAGGAUGAUCCGCCACACUGGGACUGCGACCCGGCGCAGACGCCUACGGGAGGAAGCAGUGGGGAAUAUUGGACAAUGGGGGGAACCCUGAUCCAGCCAUGCCGCGUGGGUGAAGAAGGCCUUAUGGUUGUAAAGCACUUUAAGCGAGGAGGAGGCUCUUUUGGUUAAUCCCCAAGAUGAGUGGGCGUUACUCGCAGAAUAAGCACCGGCUAACUCUGUGCCAGCCGCCGCCGUAA
rnacentral:rRNA from 1 species